rnacentral:rRNA from 1 species
AUGCCGCGUGCAGGAUGACGGUCCUAUGGAUUGUAAACUGCUUUUGUACAGGAAGAAACAGUUCUACGUGUAGAACCUUGACGGUACUGUAAGAAUAAGGAUCGGCUAACUCCGUGCCAGCAGCCGCGGUAAUACGGAGGAUCCAAGCGUUAUCCGGAAUCAUUGGGUUUAAAGGGUCCGUAGGCGGUUUUGUAAGUCAGUGGUGAAAGCCCAUCGCUCAACGGUGGAACGGCCAUUGAUACUGCAAGACUUGAAUUACUAGGAAGUAACUAGAAUAUGUAGUGUAGCGGUGAAAUGCUUAGAUAUUACAUGGAAUACCGAUUGCGAAGGCAGGUUACUACUAGUGGAUUGACGCUGAUGGACGAAAGCGUGGGGAGCGAACAGGAUUAGAUACCCUGGUAGUCCACGCCAUAAACGAUGGAUACUAGCUGUUCGGGGCAAUCUGAGUGGCUAAGCGAAAGUGAUAAGUAUCCCACCUGGGGAGUACGUUCGCAAGAAUG